rnacentral:rRNA from 1 species
AAUAGAUACCCGGGUAGUCCACGCCGUAAACGAUGUCGACUUGGAGGUUGUUCCCUUGAGGAGUGGCUUCCGGAGCUAACGCGUUAAGUCGACCGCCUGGGGAGUACGGCCGCAAGGUUAAAACUCAAAUGAAUUGACGGGGGCCCGCACAAGCGGUGGAGCAUGUGGUUUAAUUCGAUGCAACGCGAAGAACCUUACCUACUCUUGACAUCCAGAGAACUUUCCAGAGAUGGAUUGGUGCCUUCGGGAACUCUGAGACAGGUGCUGCAUGGCUGUCGUCAGCUCGUGUUGUGAAAUGUUGGGUUAAGUCCCGCAACGAGCGCAACCCUUAUCCUUUGUUGCCAGCGGUUCGGCCGGGAACUCAAAGGAGACUGCCAGUGAUAAACUGGAGGAAGUGGGGAUGACGUCAAGUCAUCAUGGCCCUUACGAGUAGGGCUACACACGUGCUACAAUGGCAUAUACAAAGAGAAGCGACCUCGCGAGAGCAAGCGGACCUCAUAAAGUAUGUCGUAGUCCGGAUUGGAGUCUGCAAC